rnacentral:rRNA from 1 species
CUUUUAUGGAGAGUUUGAUCCUGGCUCAGGACGAACG